UACGGGGGGAGCAAGCGUUGUUCGGAUUUACUGGGCGUAAAGAGCUCGUAGGCGGUUUGUUGCGUCGGCUGUGAAAUCCCGAGGCUCAACCUCGGGUCUGCAGUCGAUACGAGCAAACUAGAGUGUUGCAGGGGAGACUGGAAUUCCUGGUGUAGCGGUGAAAUGCGCAGAUAUCAGGAGGAACACCGGUGGCGAAGGCGGGUCUCUGGGCAACAACUGACGCUGAGGAGCGAAAGCGUGGGGAGCGAACAGG
rnacentral:rRNA from 1 species